rnacentral:rRNA from 1 species
UACGUAGGUGGCAAGCGUUGUCCGGAAUUAUUGGGCGUAAAGCGCGCGCAGGCGGCCUUUUAAGUCUGAUGUGAAAGCCCACGGCUCAACCGUGGAAGGUCAUUGGAAACUGGGGGACUUGAGUACAGAAGAGGAAAGCGGAAUUCCACGUGUAGCGGUGAAAUGCGUAGAGAUGUGGAGGAACACCAGUGGCGAAGGCGGCUUUCUGGUCUGUAACUGACGCUGAGGCGCGAAAGCGUGGGGAGCAAACAGG